UACAGAGGGAGCAAGCGUUGUUCGGAAUUACUGGGCGUAAAGGGCGCGUAGGCGGUUCGAUAAGUCCCGUGUGAAAUCGCUCGGCUCAACUGGGCGGGGUCAGCGGAUACGGAGUGGCUGGAGCAAGCUAGGGGGGCAAUGGAAUUCCCGGUGUAGUGGUGGAAUGCGUAGAUAUCGGGAGGAACACCAGUGGCGAAGGCGGUUUGCCUGGAGCUUUUGCUGACGCUGAUGCGCGAAAAGCGUGGGGGAGCGAACAGG
rnacentral:rRNA from 1 species